AGAAUUUUAAGUUAUAUAAACUAAGAGCCUUCAAAGCUUUAAAAAAAAGUUUAAUCUUUUAAAUUCUA
rnacentral:tRNA from 1 species